UACGAACCGGACAAACGUUAUUCGGAAUUAUUGGGCUUAAAGGGUGCGUAGGCGGCGCGGUAAGUGAGGUGUGAAAGCCCACGGCUCAACUGUGGAACUGCGCUUCAUACUGCCGUGCUUGAGGGAGACAGAGGUAAGCGGAACUGAUGGUGGAGCGGUGAAAUGCGUUGAUAUCAUCAGGAACACCGGUGGCGAAAGCGGCUUACUGGGUCUCUUCUGACGCUGAGGCACGAAAGCUAGGGUAGCGAACGGG
rnacentral:rRNA from 1 species